UUUCAGAACUCCUGACCUAUGUCAAAGUGCACAAUAGGUUUAGAAACAUUUUGCCAAGUCUGCUUUAUUUCUUUCUUUUUACAGGACAGCUUGGAUACCUUGGGCCGACCCUUUUUUCUCUUCAGGCCAAGGAAUGGAAGGACUGUGGAUAAUAGAGGUGAAUAGAGGCCAGUCAAAAGACUUCAAGGAAAGAGAAAACCCAAGGGUCACUUGACUUCCUCGCUCUAUCACUUUAAACUCUGAAAAGAAACGUUUGGACUAGUAGUACUCUGUUAAAGAGACAUGCUCUUGAAGCCUGUGAAGUUACAUGUAAUAAAUUUGCAGCCAUAAAUUA